AUUGAACGCUGGCGGCAGGCCUAACACAUGCAAGUCGAACGAGUGGCGGACGGGUGAGUAAUGUCUGGGCAACUGCCUGGUGGAGGGGGAUAACUACUGGAAACGGUAGCUAAUACCGCAUACCAUCGGAUGUGCCCAGAUGGGAUUAGCUAGUGGUUGGGGUAAAGGCUCACCUAGGCGACGAUCCCUAGCUGGUCUGAGAGGAGGACCAGCCACACUGGAACUGAGACACGGUCCAGACUCCUACGGGAGGCAGCAGUGGGGAAUAUUGGACAAUGGGCGAAAGCCUGAUGCAGCCAUGCCGCGUGUAUGAAGAAGGCCUUCGGGUUGUAAAGUACUUUCAGCGGGGAGGCGGUACCUGCAGAAGAAGCACCGGCUAACUCCGUGCCAGCAGCCGCGGUAAUAC
rnacentral:rRNA from 1 species